GCUUAACACAUGCAAGUCGAACGGAGCGUCUUUGAUAGAGGAUUCGUCCAAUUGAUAAGAUUGCUUAGUGGCGGACGGGUGAGUAACGCGUGAGGAACCUGCCUUGGAGUGGGGAAUAACAGUUAGAAAUGACUGCUAAUACCGCAUAUGCCAUAUGGACCACAUGGUUCAAGUGGGAAAGGAGCAAUCCGCUGAUAGAUGGGCUUACGGCUGAUUAGCUAGUUGGUGGGGUAACGGCCUACCAAGGCGACGAUCAGUAGCCGGACUGAGAGGUUCAACGGCCACAUUGGGACUGAGACACGGUCCAGACUCCUACGGGAGGCAGCAGUGAGGAAUAUUGGUCAAUGGGCGGGAGCCUGAACCAGCCAAGUAGCGUGAAGGAUGACUGCCCUACGGGUUGUAAACUUCUUUUGUUUGGGAAUAAAAGACGCUACGUGUAGCGUUCUGCAUGUACCUUACGAAUAAGCAUCGGCUAAUUCCGUG
rnacentral:rRNA from 1 species